rnacentral:sRNA from 2 species
UUGCUAUCUGCGAUAUGGAAUAUUCGAACCUGCCGCAGGUUCGGGUCUCACGUAGUGAGACAACGGAGCCGCUUGCGGCGACGGCCCGAAGGGCGAGCAAAGCGAGUCAUCCUGCACGACCCACCA